rnacentral:rRNA from 1 species
GAUGAACGCUAGCUACAGGCUUAACACAUGCAAGUCGAGGGGAAACGAUAGAGAAAGCUUGCUUUUUCUAGGCGUCGACCGGCGCACGGGUGAGUAACGCGUAUCCAACCUGCCCAUCACUUGGGGAUAACCCUGCGAAAGUAAGACUAAUACCCAAUGACGUCUCUAGAAGACAUCUGAAAGAGAUUAAAGAUUUAUCGGUGAUGGAUGGGGAUGCGUCUGAUUAGCUUGUUGGCGGGGUAACGGCCCACCUAGCCUACGAUGGAUAGGGGUUCUGAGAGGAAGGUCCCCCACAUUGGAACUGAGACACGGUCCAAAACUCCUACGGGAGGCAGCAGUGAGGAAUAUUGGUCAAUGGACGAGAGUCUGAACCAGCCAAGUAGCGUGAAGGAUGAAGGUCCUACGGAUUGUAAAACUUCUUUUAUAAGGGAAUAAAAACCUCCCACGUGUGGGAGCUUGUAUGUACCUUAUGAAUAAGCAUCGGCUAACUCCGUGCCAGCAGCCGCGGU